rnacentral:misc_RNA from 1 species
CGCUUUCUGACGGGCUAAAAGCUCUCAGUAUCCCGCAGUCACUUGUCAGCAGUCAGCAAGUGACCAGUUAGUGACUAGUCAGUGCUCCACCGGACUUGGACUUUGACGCUCUGACAUGUGGUCUCGCGGUCAUCUUCUCGCCGCGGUGGCUUCAACCUUUCUUCUCUUCUUUUUGACAACUGCUGACGCACUCUUACCCGACAAUGAUGUGACGAAAUCGCUAGAGGAAGCCGUCCAAGAGGACCAGUUCAUUCUGAGUGUGAAGCACAUCAAGCCAAAGAAGCGACUGCGCGGUGGCAUCGAGACUGUCUUGGAAGUCGACUUCCCCGGCUCACAGCACAAGUUACAGUUACAGAUCGACAGACGUUCAAGGAGAGUUGUUGUAGAGACCCUGGAGGAUGGCAGACCUCGUACCCAGCACUUUUUCGUUGAGAAAUUGACCGAGGGCUCGGCCAUUCACAAUUUGCUCAUAGUAUUCGACCAGCGACAACCUGCGGCUUCAGCCACCCUCUAUUUUGACUGCGAGUCUCAGGGCAAAAUAAACAGCCACAUGACUCUCAAGGAAAUGUUCAAGAGCAUGCGCAAUCCACACAUUCAGGCUUAUCGUGAGAGGAAAUACGAAAUACAAGUAGAGUCUGAUUUGGGAAUCGGAGAAAUGCUGGACCGCAACAAUUGUCCAGACAGUAUUGUUAACGAAAUGUUAAACGACCAGCAAUUCGCAGGCAACGAUCUCACUACCCAAAUCAGGGGUGAUAUACCAAUAAUACACGACUGCGAUGAUAAUCUACUUGUCAAGGCUAUAAAUGAUCUGAUACAGAUAGUGAAGCAACUGAAGGAGGAGCUCAAUUACCAGAGAUCCGAGACUCGUCGAUUGAGAGAGUACCUGGAGAAAUGCGACAUCUGCAAGCCAGUGUCGCUGGCACAGACUCGUCCGACGUGCAGCAGCCAGCCGUGCUUCGCGGGCGUGGAAUGUCGCGACACGGUGGAGGGGCCCCGCUGUGGUCGCUGUCCGCACGGCUUCGUCGGAGACGGCCGCCACUGCAAGCCUGGCAUCACCUGCGCCGAGAAUCCCUGUCAUCCUGGCGUGAGAUGCUACGACACAGUGGAAGGCUUCCAGUGCGGUUCAUGUCCGGCGGGAAUGACGGGCGACGGGCGAAGGUGUGCUCCAAGGUCCGGAUGUGACAACCGACCCUGUUCUUCAGGUGUACAAUGUGUGAACUCGCCCGACCCACCCUACUAUAGAUGUGGCGCCUGCCCUGAAGGUUUCACAGGCAAUGGAACUAAUUGUCAUGAUUUGGAUGAGUGCGACCUAGCCGAGCCGUGCGACACGCGCGUCAAGUGCACGAACCUGGUGCCCGGGUUCCGUUGCGAGGCUUGCCCGCCUGGCUUCACCGGCUCGCCGGGCCUCGAGGGCGUUGGCCUGGAGUUCGCGCAUCGCUACCGCCAGCGCUGCUACGACAUCGACGAGUGCGCAGACGGACGCAACGGCGGCUGCGCGCCCAAUUCUGUCUGCACCAACACUGAGGGUUCAUUCCACUGCGGGUCAUGCAAGAUGGGCUACAUAGGCAACCAGACGAGUGGAUGCAGGAACCAGCCGGGUCUCUGCCCUGAUGGAACCCAGUGCGACUCCAAUGCCGAGUGUGUCAGAGUCAGUUACCACUCAUACCGAUGCAAAUGUAAAGUUGGGUAUGCAGGAGAUGGCCAGGUUUGUGGGUCGGACAGGGACCUCGAUGGCUGGCCCGACCAUCAACUCAGGUGCUCAGAUGCUCAUUGCAAGAAGGAUAACUGUGUGAACAUACCGAAUUCGGGACAAGAGGACGCAGACGGCGACGGGGAGGGAGACGUCUGCGACGCCGACGCUGACAACGAUGGCAUCUUGAACAGUCCUGACAACUGUCCAUUAGUGCACAACCCGGACCAACUGGACACGGACAGAGACGCGGACAGAAUGGGAGACGCCUGUGACAAUUGCCCCAUGGUUCCCAACCUGGACCAGGCCGAUGUCGACAAGGAUGGACUGGGAGAUGCGUGCGACAGUGACAUGGACAAUGAUGGCAUUCCGAACCACAACGACAACUGUCCGAAGAUCGCGAACGCGGACCAGAGGGAUCAGGACAACGACGGACUGGGUGACGUGUGUGACAACUGUCCACGGGUUCCCAACCCGACCCAGGUCGACAGCGACAAUGACCUCACCGGAGAUGCCUGCGACAGCGACAUCGAUCGCGACAGAGACGGUAUCCAGGACAGCACCGAUAACUGUCCAAAAGUAGCCAACAGCAACCAGUUGGACACCGACGGUGAUGGGAGGGGAGAUGAGUGCGACAAUGAUAUUGACAACGACGGCAUUCCUAACAGGGAGGAUAACUGUCCCCUAGGCUACAAUCCCUCACAGGAAGAUCGCGAUGGAAACGGAGUGGGAGACGUCUGCCAGGAUGACUAUGACUUGGACAAAGUGCCAAACAAUCUCGAUAAUUGUCCUAAUAAUUCGAAAAUAUUCUCUACAGAUUUCAGAACCUAUCAAACUGUUGCUCUAGACCCCGAGGUGAUUCUCAGAAUGAUCCCAAUUGGGAAAUUUACAACAAAGGAGCAGAAAUUGUCCAAACUCUAAACAGUGAUCCCGGAUUGGCAGUUGGUUAUCAUUCGUUUGGCGGCGUUGACUUCGAAGGAACUUUCUUUGUGGAUACUGAAAUUGAUGACGAUUAUGUCGGCUUUGUUUUCAGUUAUCAAGACAACCACAAAUUCUACACAGUGAUGUGGAAGAAGAGCUCGCAAACGUACUGGCAGGCUACGCCUUUCCGAGCGGUCGCCGAGCCUGGCAUCCAAUUGAAGCUGGUGCAGUCCGCCACGGGACCAGGCCAGGUGUUGAGAAACUCACUAUGGCAUACUGGCGACACUAACGAACAGGUGAAAUUACUGUGGAAAGACCCCAGAAACGUGGGUUGGAAGGAGAAGGUUGCUUAUCGUUGGUUACUGCUGCACCGUCCCAAGAUCGGACUUAUCCGUUUGAGGAUUUUCGAGGGUGAGAAUCUGGUGGCCGAUUCUGGAAAUGUGUUCGAUUCCACGCUGAGAGGCGGUCGGCUCGGAGUCUUCUGUUUCUCUCAAGAGAUGAUCAUCUGGUCUGAUCUUGUCUACAGGUGUAAUGACGAUGUGCCAGAAGCAAUAUACAGGGAGCUGCCUCCAAGGCUGCAGAAUGAAGUGAAUGUGGACUCUAGCCAACCUCGACAUCAUUGAAUAAGUUUUCACUCAAGUAUUAAUAUUGUAAUAAAAUUACAAUUGACUCAUAAGUCUAUGAACUAUGAUGUUUCGUUUAUGUACAGUGAUUGUUACAAGUUACUUGUUAAGAAAUUAUUAUUAUUUAUUUAACCACUGAUAACCUGCCAUUUGUUCCUUGGAUGCCAUUGAAUUGCAAUCUUUAAAACAUGAUUCAAUGUUGCUCUCAGUAAUUUUCAAGCAAAAAUUUUCAUUCUGCAUUGUCGAAUCAUAAUUUCAUCCUAGUAAUUACAAUGUACCUAUUAUAUCUUCCAUCAUUGACAAAUCAUUAAAACAUCAUCAUUAACUUUCAAUGUACACCCUAGAUGUAUUACUGUGUAUGUAUUACUAGAUCAUCUUAGCAAAGUAUGAUGCGACAUGAUAUUGAAAAUAGUCCUAUAUAAUGUAUUGUAUAAUCUGAGGCUUGAGGUCCAGUAAAAUUUAGUGAUUGAAUAUAAAUUAAUAAGAAAAUCUAAAACUGUUGAGCUAAUUGAGUGAGUGAUGUAUGAAGUGAUUGAUUAAGAUAAUAGAAUAUGAUUAAGAUCAUGCUAUUUUCAUUUGAAAUAAACGAUUUGGAAACAAGAGAAACCAUAAUGGACCUGUGAAAUAUGUAGGCCAAUGUUAAAAUCAUCAAACCGCUUACUGCCAUAACUUUAGCUUAUUAUUUAUUUCAACUACGGUACGUUAGUAUAAUUGUUUUAUGUUUUUUUUAAUAAUAGUAUGAGUAUUUUUAAAAUAA